rnacentral:rRNA from 1 species
GACGAACCGUGCAAACGUUGUUCGGAAUCACUGGGCUUAAAGGGCGCGUGGGCGGGCCAGCCAGUCUGUGGUGAAAGCCUCCAGCUUAACUGGAGAAGUGCCGUGGAUACUGCUGGCCUCGAGGAGGAUAGGGGCAUCUGGAACGGUCUGUGGAGCGGUGAAAUGCGUUGAUAUCGACCGGAACUCCGGUGGCGAAGGCGAGGUGCUGGGUCCUUUCUGACGCUGAUGCGCGAAAGCCAGGGGAGCAAACGGG